AUUGGAUGUUUAACGUAUUUCUUUUAUAAUAAACUAAAUAUUUAAACUUAAUCAAUUACCAUUUUUCGAUGUUAAAUUUGCAUAUUGGCACACAUUUUUAUCCAUUCAGAAUUCUCAAUUGACUAGUUAUCUUAAUGUAGACAUAUUAUUUUAUUUUUGUUUAAGUGAAUUUAGUCUAUAAAUAAUUAUUUUACAUAUUUUUUUUUUUUGUUUUAAUUUUUUUAAUUUUAAUCCAAUUUAAUCAAUAAAUAUUUAUUUGACUCAAUAUAAUUAAUGAAAUAUACUUAUUCAAUUCGAGUAUUGUAAAUCAAAAGUUUAAUUUUAUGUUUAUAUACAAAAUUUAGUAAAAUUAUAGAAUUGCCCUUAAGGAUUUAGGGGUUACUGUAGCAGAUAAAAUAUAAGGAGUAUAACAAUAAUCUCCCCUGUUGCAAAAUAGCACCUCAGUCCCUCUCUCACUUUCUCUCUCCUUGACACCCUCUAUCAACCCUCGCCGCACAUCCAUCCUCCGUUCUUCCAUUUCGGCUACUGUUCAACAUCAAACUCCUACAUAGGUCUCCUCAAUGUCACAAGCUUCCUUUUGCAACUUGUUUCAUGAAAAAAGAUCAAAUAAUAGGGAAAGGAGAGGGAGAAAUUUUUGCUUCUUGUUGUCGUCGUCAGGAUGCCUACCUGGUGAUAUUUUCUGGCUGAUCUAAGGCCAUAAUCAACUUUCCUGCCUCAAAAAACCCUUGGAUUGGGAAGACCAGCUUGAUCCCUGCUAUUUAACCGUUGAGCUUCCUUCGUCGGUGCUAAACCUUUAAGCCCUCUAUCUGCCACAUUCGAGCCAUUCUUAGGCGGAGAAAAUUGUACAUCCACACUCCUAAUAAGAUUGUAGGCUUCCCGUUAGUAUACUGAGAUCGCAUUUUCAUCACCUUAAAAAGGAAUUUCUAGUGACUGGCGUAGUGACAUUGAGACACAUGCUGAUGGGUGAAAGUUCUGUUUUUAUCUUAGGAGUGAGGACUCCCAUAUGAUAGUCUCGAAUUCUCUCGGCUCGCCUUUUGCUAUACAGAGGGCUAGAGUGGUUGUAGCUACAAUAGCAGCAGCCCAAUAGGUCCAGGAUUAUGUCUCUAUCUAGUCUACUCCACCAACACAUGCAUAGGACACUAAGAGGCAAGGUAGGCCUCGAGCUGCAACCUAGUAGAUUCAGGGUGAGGCUCAAGAGUUUCGCAGUGCUAGAGGAGUUUCUAUUGAUGUUUUUAUGGCCAGUAUGAGUAGAGUGCAAAAAGCCUUAGAGCAGCUCUUGGUUCAUCAUCAGGAGCAGUUGCAGGCAACAUAGAGUUUUCAAGCCCGAGGGGGCAAGUUCAAUUCGAGGGAUUCCAAUAAAGUUCCUAUGUUAGAGUAUAUUAAACUUUUCAGGUGAUAGUUAGGACCUUCCCAUCUCAUCAUUUUGUCAGUCCUAUUCCUUUCUUGUUUAGGGCUCAAUGUAAUUCUUUUAUAUACUUCCUACAUUUAUUAUCCACAAAACUUCUAGAUACUCCAUAGAAUAGUAUGGUUGAUAUUAGAAUUUAUUAUUAAAUUUAUUCUACAUGAUGAAAUAGAUUACUCUUUGAGGAUUUAUUAUUAAAUUUAUUCUAUAUAAUCUUAUGGAAUAUAUGAUGAGCAUAUUUAUGUAUGUUUCGAGGUUUUGAGAUCAUUGUUGGUAUUAGAUUUAUUAUAGGUUUCGAUAGUUUUAUACUUGUAUAUUUCUUGGUGGCAAUUACGAUCUCCAAUUUGGAUCGUGACAGUACUAGUGUUGUUUAAUUGAGGGAUUUAAUGGGCUAGUUUAAUAAGAAGAUUUAAAUAGAUUGAAGCUUCAAAACAACAUAAGUAACUAAUUAAGUUUUUUAAUGGCUUAUUACAUUAAGCCCAACAUUUAUUAUAAAACAUGCCCUACCGAUAACCAUGAGAUAACAACUAUCAGGCACCUACUUUCCCAUCCAGAUUGAUUGCUGAAAGCUCUUGUUCCAUAAACUCUCCUGCAAACAUGGGCGGAUAAUUGCUGGCUAGUGGGCAUUCUGCAAAGUGGCCUAAUGGCUUCAACACAGCAUCUGAUGCAAUGUUUGAGAACAGCUGCAGAUGGCAAAAUAAUCAGAGAGGGCAAAAAAAAGAAAAAAGCUAUAUACAGCAACUAUAAGAUCCAUUGGUGAACAAAUGGGUGGAUGGAUAAUUACAAACUUGAGUCCUAGUUUUACUAAAUUUAAGUUGUAUUAACAUAAUUAAUUCACUUUAUUUUUAUUGAAGGAAACAUUGUAUCGCAA